rnacentral:rRNA from 1 species
GUUGGCAGAGUGCAAUGUGGUGUUCGGGAGAGGUCAAUCUUGCGGAGAGCUCGGUGUCCAAGUCCCCCUGACUGGGGCCAUUGCCCGCUGGGGGUGCAAGGCCUGUUGGGCAGGGCUGGGUCUCUGAUCUCCGCAAGUGCGGCCUCUUCCUUGGAGUCGGGUUGCUUGAGAGUGCAGCCCAAAGUGGGUGGUAAACUCCACCUAAGGCUAAAUACUUUCCACGAGACCGAUAGCAAACAAGUACCGUGAGGGAAAGUUGCAAAGAACUUUGAAGAGAGAGUUCAAGAGUGCGUGAAACCGUUUGGAGGUAAACGGGUGGGAGCGCGAAGGUCGAACGGAUGGGGAGGGAUUCAACUUGGCGCGGCGGUCGCCUUGGCUGUGCGGCGUGAGCGGGGGCCAGCGCCUCCACCUCGUGUGGUGGUGACGUCCCGCUUCGCACGCUGGCCGAGUUGACGGUCCGCCGUGCCUUGUGCAAUUCCCGCUUCCCCCUCUCCUAGUAGGACGCCGCGACCGGCUGUUGUGUUCGGGCCCAGGAGCUGGGUGGAGCAGCUGCGCGGACGAGUUGUGGGAUUCGUUCCCUGCGUCCGGUCUGUCUGUCUCCGCCCGACUGCGGGUGGCCCGCCACGGCCGAGGAACUUUGACGGCGAGUUGAGUCUCCACUCGGGGAUUCCUCGUCCUGUCGUCGCGCCCUUUGAUUUGGCGGUGCGGGUCGAAAGAUCCUCACGGGUGGCGGUGAACGGGUGUGCGCCGGUCCUAGUGGCCGCGUCGUGCGCCCGUCCCACGUCAGCCGCCGUCUGUCAGGGUGCGGACUCCCGCAAUGGGGCGCUGGGGGUCGGCGGCGAGUAGGUCGGUUUCCCACCCGACCCGUCUUGAAACACGGACCAAGAAGUCUAACGUGUGGGCGAGUCUUCGGGGGCUCUGCUAACCCCAGAUCGGGCGGGUUCGUCGUCUCUGGCGGCGGGCCGUCUUGCCCGUGGAAGGCGCAAUGAAAGUGAAGGCGUGCGUCGGGCUUUACCUUUUCGACGGGGGGAGAAGGGCUCACGCUCUCUCUCCUCUGCCGUGAGGUUUGGCCUGGCGCUGCGCUGCGGUGGGAUCCCCGUCCUUCAUGGCGGGGGCGCACCACCGGCCCGUCCUA